UUUUGAUCCUGGCUUCAGGAUGAACGCUAGCGGGCAGGGCUUAACCACAUGCAAGUUCGAGGGGUAUAGUUCUUCGGAACUAGAGACCGGCGCACGGGUGCGUAACGCGUAUGCAAUCUACCUUUCACAGAGGGAUAGCCCASAGAAAUUUGGAUUAAUACCUCAUAGUAUGUAUGAAUGGCAUCAUUUAUACAUUAAAGUCACAACGGUGAAAGAUGAGCAUGCGUCCCAUUAGCUAGAUGGUAAGGUAACGGCUUACCAUGGCAACGAUGGGUAGGGGUCCUGAGAGGGAGAUCCCCCACACUGGUACUGAGACACGGACCAGACUCCUACGGGAGGCAGCAGUGAGGAAUAUUGGACAAUGGGCGCAAGCCUGAUCCAGCCAUGCCGCGUGCAGGAUGACGGUCCUAUGGAUUGUAAACUGCUUUUGUACAGGAAGAAACACUGGUUCGUGAACCAGCUUGACGGUACUGUAAGAAUAAGGAUCGGCUAACUCCGUGCCAGCAGCCGCGGUAAUACGGAGGAUCCAAGCGUUAUCCGGAAUCAUUGGGUUUAAAGGGUCCGUAGGCGGUUUAGUAAGUCAGUGGUGAAAGCCCAUCGCUCAACGGUGGAACGGCCAUUGAUACUGCUAAACUUGAAUUAUUAGGGAGUAACUAGAAUAUGUAGUGUAGCGGUGAAAUGCUUAGAGAUUACAUGGAAUACCAAUUGCGAAGGCAGGUUACUACUAAUGGAUUGACGCUGAUGGACGAAAGCGUGGGUAGCGAACAGGAUUAGAUACCCUGGUAGUCCACGCCGUAAACGAUGGAUACUAGCUGUUGGGCGCAAGUUCAGUGGCUAAGCGAAAGUGAUAAGUAUCCCACCUGGGGAGUACGUUCGCAAGAAUGAAACUCAAAGGAAUUGACG
rnacentral:rRNA from 1 species